GCCCGCCCACCGAACGGUCGGCAGGCGAUCCGCGUCGGUCAAGCGAGGUGGUAUGGCUCCCCAGAGGCCGGUUCUUGUGCUGCCUACCCCUUCAGGGGAAGCGGGCCACUUUCGAUGUAAGCCUCCAUCCGGCGCCCUCCAACGGGCGCAGGAGGACAACGGAGCACCCCCCGCGUUCCACCGAGCCUCAGCCGGUCGCGUGGCGCGCGGGGACGUGCGAUGCUCUCGGACCCAGCGAACGCCGUGGGCGAGGACUCACGUCCCAGUCCCUACACAAGCUCCGACAGAAUGUAAGACGGCCUCUCCCGACCCCCGACCGCCCCGGCGGCUCGGGGGCGAGGCGCGGCGUCGCGGAGGAAUGCUACCUGGUUGAUCCUGCCAGUAGUCAUAUGCUUGUCUCAAAGAUUAAGCCAU
rnacentral:misc_RNA from 1 species